AUUGAACGCUGGCGGCAGGCUUAACACAUGCAAGUCGAGCGAGCGGCGGAAGGGUGAGUAAUGUCUGGGACACUGACUGCUGGAGGGGGAUAACUACUGGAAACGGUCGCUAAUACCGCAUCCACUAAGAGGUGCCCAGAUGGGAUUAGCUAGUAGGUGGGGUAAUGGCUCAACUAGUCGACGAUCCCUAGCUGGUCUGAUAGGAGGACCAGCCACACUGGAACUGAGACACGGUCCAGACUCCUACGGGGGGCAGCAGUGGGGAAUAUUGCAAAAUGGGGGCAAGCCUGAUGCAGCCAUGCCGCGUGUGUGAAGAAGGCCUUCGGGUUGUAAAGCACUUUCAGCGAGGAGGCGUUACUCGCAGAAUAAGCACCGGCUAACUCCGGGCCAGCAGCCGCGGUAAUUC
rnacentral:rRNA from 1 species